rnacentral:piRNA from 1 species
UGACUGAUAGGUUCUUUGAGAAGCAUA